rnacentral:rRNA from 1 species
UACGUAGGGGGCUAGCGUUGUCCGGAAUCAUUGGGCGUAAAGAGCGUGUAGGCGGUCCGGUAAGUCCGCUGUGAAAGUCGGGGGCUCAACCCUCGAAUGCCGGUGGAUACUGUCGGGCUAGAGUACGGAAGAGGCGAGUGGAAUUCCUGGUGUAGCGGUGAAAUGCGCAGAUAUCAGGAGGAACACCUAUUGCGAAGGCAGCUCGCUGGGACGUAACUGACGCCGAGACGCGAAAGCGUGGGGAGCAAACAGG